rnacentral:rRNA from 1 species
UACCAGCUCUCCGAGUGGUAGGGAUGAUUAUUGGGCUUAAAGCGUCCGUAGCCGGCUUAGCAAGUUUCCUGUUAAAUUCAGCGACCUAAUCGUUGAGCCGCGGGAAAUACUACUAGGCUAGGAGGCGGGAGAGGUCGACGGUACUUCUGGGGUAGGGGUGAAAUCCUAUAAUCCCGGGAGGACCACCAGUGGCGAAGGCUGUCGACUAGAACGCGCUCGACGGUGAGGGACGAAAGCUGGGGGAGCGAACCGGAUUAGAUACCCGGGUAGUCCCAGCUGUAAACGAUGCGGGCUAGGUGUUGGGGUGGCUACGUGCCACUUCAGUGCCGCAGGGAAGCCAUUAAGCCCGCCGCCUGGGAGUACGGCCGCAAGGCUGAAACUUAAAGGAAUUGGCGGGGAGCACCACAAGGCGUGAAGCUUGCGGUUC